AAAAUAUAAUAAAUUAGGUCAGAAGUAAAUCAAAAGGCGGGAAUGUGCAAGAGAUAGAGAGACAGCAAAAUUAGGGCACAAUCCAUUCUUCCCCUUCUUGAUUUCUUGUUGGAAAACCAUCAAAGGUGAAACUCAUUUAGCUAUUUCUACAGUCGAUCGAAGCUAGACAUGUCUGGCAGAAAAGAAACUGUUCUGGAUUUAGCAAAAUUCGUGGACAAAGGUGUUCAAGUCAAACUGACUGGUGGAAGACAAGGUUCGCCGUUGUUCGUUUAUUGAUAGAUUUUUCGGCAAUUUCAUAUCUAUUUCUUUUUUAUAGUUUGUGGGUUUCUCUUUACUUGGUCCGAUUUCGUGUUUAUCGCUUUAUAAUUUUGU